UACGGAGGACGCGAGCGUUAUCCGGAUUCAUUGGGUUUAAAGGGUGCGCAGGCGGCCGAGCAAGUCAGCGGUGAAAGCCCGGGGCCCAACCCCGGAAGUGCCGUUGAUACUGUUCGGCUUGAAUGCGGUCGAGGCGGGCGGAACGUGGCGUGUAGCGGUGAAAUGCGUAGAUAUGCCACAGAACGCCGAUAGCGAAGGCAGCUCGCCAGGCCUGCAUUGACGCUCGGGCACGAAAGCGUGGGGAUCGAAC
rnacentral:rRNA from 1 species